AGCGAACGCUGGCGGCAGGCUUAACACAUGCAAGUCGAGCGGGCACUUUCGGGUGUCAGCGGCGGACGGGUGAGUAACGCGUGGGAACGUGCCCUCUGGUUCGGAAUAACUCAGGGAAACUUGAGCUAAUACCGGAUACGCCCUUUUGGGGAAAGGCUUGCUGCCGGAGGAUCGGCCCGCGUCUGAUUAGCUAGUUGGUGAGGUAACGGCUCACCAAGGCGACGAUCAGUAGCUGGUCUGAGAGGGUGAUCAGCCACACUGGGACUGAGACACGGCCCAGACUCCUACGGGAGGCAGCAGUGGGGAAUAUUGGACAAUGGGCGCAAGCCUGAUCCAGCCAUGCCGCGUGAGUGAUGAAGGCCUUAGGGUUGUAAAGCUCUUUUAUCCGGGACGAUAAUGACGGUACCGGAGGAAUAAGCCCCGGCUAACUUCGUG
rnacentral:rRNA from 1 species